rnacentral:rRNA from 1 species
UACGUAGGGUGCAAGCGUUGUCCGGAAUUAUUGGGCGUAAAGAGCUCGUAGGCGGUGUGUCGCGUCGGCCGUGAAAACCUGCAGCUUAACUGUGGGCUUGCGGUCGAUACGGGCAUCACUGGAGUUCGGCAGGGGAGACUGGAAUUCCUGGUGUAGCGGUGAAAUGCGCAGAUAUCAGGAGGAACACCGGUGGCGAAGGCGCCGCUCUGGGCCGAUACUGACGCUGAGGAGCGAAAGCGUGGGGAGCAAACAGG